UACGUAGGGUGCGAGCGUUGUCCGGAAUUACUGGGCGUAAAGAGUUCGUAGGCGGUUUGUCGCGUCGUUCGUGAAAACUUGGGGCUUAACUCCAAGCGUGCGGGCAAUACGGGCAGACUUGAGUACUACAGGGGAGACUGGAAUUCCUGGUGUAGCGGUGAAAUGCGCAGAUAUCAGGAGGAACACCGGUGGCGAAGGCGGGUCUCUGGGUAGUAACUGACGCUGAGGAACGAAAGCGUGGGUAGCGAACAGG
rnacentral:rRNA from 1 species